rnacentral:sRNA from 1 species
UUCCCCGCCGGUGCCGGUUGCGAGCUUGCGAAACAGGAGAUCGGCACCGGUCUCGCUGUCGGC